UACGUAGGGUGCGAGCGUUGUCCGGAAUUAUUGGGCGUAAAGGGCUCGUAGGCGGUCUGUCACGUCGAAAGUGAAAACUCAGGGCUCAACCCUGAGCCUGCUUCCGAUACGGGCAGACUAGAGGUAUGCAGGGGAGAAUGGAAUUCCUGGUGUAGCGGUGAAAUGCGCAGAUAUCAGGAGGAACACCAGUGGCGAAGGCGGUUCUCUGGGCAUUACCUGACGCUGAGGAGCGAAAGCGUGGGUAGCAAACAGG
rnacentral:rRNA from 1 species